rnacentral:rRNA from 1 species
UGACUCUGUUCAACGGCCGCGGUAUCCUAACCGUGCGAAGGUAGCGUAAUCACUUGUUCUUUAAAUAAGGACUAGUAUGAAUGGCACCACGAGGGUUAUACUGUCUCCUUUUUCUAAUCAAUGAAACUAAUCUUCCCGUGCAGAAGCGGGGAUUUUUCUAUAAGACGAGAAGACCCUAUGGAGCUUUAAACAAAAUAACAAUUGCUAACAUAACUACUAAUUUCAGAAAACUUAAACGUACCUUAGCACCAUGAUUAUUAGUUUUAGGUUGGGGUGACCGCGGAGAAAAAAUUAACCUCCACAUUGAAAGGACCUUCCUCCUAAGCAAAAAGCUACAACUUUAUGCAUCAAUAAAUUGACAUGAAUUGACCCAAUAUUUUGAUCAACGAACCAAGUUACCCUAGGGAUAACAGCGCAAUCUACUUCAAGAGCUCCUAUCGACAAGUGGGUUUACGACCUCGAUGUUGGAUCAGGGUAUCCCAGUGGUGCAGCCGCUACUAAAGGUUCGUUUGUUCAACUAUUAAAACCCU